UUGUAGCAAUACAAAUUGCUGACGAGCGGCGGACGGGUGAGUAAUACGUAGGAACCUGCCCUUCAGAGUGGGAUAACCUGGGGAAACUCGGGCUAAUACCGCAUAUUUUCGUGAGAAGAAACGCCGCAGCAAUGCGGUGGCUGAGGGAGGGGCUUACGUCCGAUUAGCUAGUUGGUGAGGUAAAGGCUCACCAAGGCGAUGAUCGGUAGCUGGUCUGAGAGGACGACCAGCCACACUGGGACUGAGACACGGCCCAAACUCCUACGGGAGGCAGCAGUGGGGAAUAUUGGACAAUGGGCGCAAGCCUGAUCCAGCCAUGCCGCGUGAGUGAUGAAGGCCCUAGGG
rnacentral:rRNA from 1 species